CCUACGGGCGGCAGCAGUGGGGAAUAUUGGGCAAUGGUCGCAAGCCUGAACCAGCAACGCCGCGUGAAGGAUGAAGGCUUUCUGGUUGUAAACUUCUUUUUUUGAGGACGAAACAUAUGACGGUACUCAAUUUAUAAGCCACGGCUAACUACGUGCCAGAACUCGCGGUAAUACGUAGGUGGCAAGCGUUCUCCGGAUUUACUGGGUGUAAAGGGCGAGUAGGCGGGACUGGAAGUCAGAUGUGAAACCCAUGGGCUCAACCCAUGGCCUGCAUUUGAAACUGUAGUUCUUGAGUGAGUGAGAGGCAGGCGGAAUUCCGUGUGUAGCGGUGAAAUGCGUAGAUAUACGGAAGAACACCAGUGGCGAAGGCAGCCUGCUGGACAUUAACUGACGCUGAGGCGCGAAGGCGUGGGGAGCGAACAGGAUUAGAUACCCGGGUAGUC
rnacentral:rRNA from 1 species